rnacentral:rRNA from 1 species
AUUGAACGCUGGCGGCAGGCUUAACACAUGCAAGUCGAGCGAGCGGCGGACGGGUGAGUAAUGUCUGGGAAACUGCCUGAUGGAGGGGGAUAACUACUGGAAACGGUAGCUAAUACCGCAUACUAUCGGAUGAACCCAAAGUGGAUUAGCUAGUAGGUGGGGUAAAGGCUCACCUAGGCGACGAUCUCUAGCUGGUCUGAGAGGAUGAUCAGCAACACUGGGACUGAGACACGGCCCAGACUCCUACGGUAGGCAGCAGUGGGGAAGAUGGCACAAUGGGCGCAAGCCUGAUGCAGCCAUGCCGCGUGUGUGAAGAAGGCCUUCGGGUUGUAAAGCACUUUCAGCGAGGAGGCGUUACUCGCAGAAGAAGCACCGGCUAACUCCGUGCCAGCAGCCGCGGUAAUAC